GAUGAAGAACGCAGCGAAAUGCGAUAAGUAAUGUGAAUUGCAGAAUUCAGUGAAUCAUCGAAUCUUUGAACGCACCUUGCACCCUUUGGCAUUCUGAAGGGUAUGCUCGUUUGAGUGUCAUUGUACUCUCACACUCCCGAUCUUUGCAUUGGGAGCAGUGGACUUGGGUUUGCUGCUUCACCGUCGCUUACCUCAAAUAGGUUAGUGCAGCUCUUGGUUGGACAUAGUACGGCGUGAUAAGUGUUCUUCGCCGGUGCCUCGCAAAGAGGGUGGCCGAUCGGGAUGUUGUGCUCCAAACCGUCUUCGGACAAUCUCUGACGACUUGACCUCAAAUCGAGUAAGACUACCCGCUGAACUUAAGCAUAUCAAUAAGCGGAGGA
rnacentral:misc_RNA from 1 species